CACACAAAGCUUUUACGCCCGCGGCCGGCGCAUGUUUUAUAAUUGAUUCCAAUGGAAACUCUACGUUUUUCAAAUAAGCCGGCGCUCUGCGCUUUUCCGCGCUCGACGCUGAGCGUCAAGAGUUGAAAGAGAUUCAUCUUUGGGUGAAAAGCUCCGCUUGUCAAUGUCAGUUCUCACACGACCGUCCAAUCACAGUGAAGGAGGGGCGGGACAAGUAUCACAACAACCUCACACACAUUUUCUCUUUAAAACUUUUCCAGAAUGAAAUAUCUGAAGUUUUGUCAUGUCUGCUCAUACAUGUCUUAUGCUUUUCUGGAAAGUUACACAGAAAUGUAGUGGUAUCUUGUUUAUUAGAGGAUCAACCACAUAGGGCUAGAAACCUGAAAACAAGCAAUGCCACAGAGGAACCACUUUGGAUCUCCAAAGAUCUGUUUGUGCAACAGAAAGGUUUUGGGGAUGUUGUAGGUUCUUUAUGGAACCAUUUAGCCAAACAAAGAACUUUAGGAACCUUUAUUUUUAAAACUGUAUUCGCUAAGAAUAUUUUAGGUGUCUAAGGAUGCGAAAAUGAAUUUGGUGUACACCAGGGCUAGUCAACUGGCGGGCCAAAUGCGGCCCUCCAAUCAUCUUUAUUCGGCCCGCCGGUCAUCUUUGUCUGAUUUAAAAUCAGCGUGGUUACUUUUAUCUUUCCACUGUACAUGACAAAUGACGGUCGAUAAACCGAAAUGAGAGUCGUAAAGGGGCUGCGUAGGGUGCCAACCAUCUGUGGGUGCGUACUUAUUGGAUCCAAUUUGAGCAACAAAAAAAAAAGAAAGUUGUGCCCUUACACUGGUUGUGACACGACGACCGAAAGUGAUGUAUUUCAAUGUGUUCCAAUCAAAAAACAAUAUGUGUGAGGUGAAAAUUAUUCAUUAUUUUUGUUUAACUUUGUCAGUAACACUUGAAUCCUUUAAAAAGGAUUGAUUACUGAUAAAUAAAUUGUUAACUAUAAAUAUUUUUUGUAGAUUAAACGCUCUUGCACUGAAAUGAGCUUCUCUCUCUUGUUGACACAGAUAUACAAUUAAACUGAAAUUCUAUUACGACUGCCACAAGGGGGCGAACUCCGACAGUCGUGUCCGAAUGCAGUGUACAAUGGAAAGGCGGUUUAGCCUAUAUAUCUUUAAAAUAUAAAAAAAUAAAAGAGGAAGUGCAAUUUUAGCCAUUAAGAGAAACCUGGCUAUAUGUGUUGAAUACUUGAAAUGUAACAAUUUAUGAAAGGAAAUAGUUAUAAACAAAAGAAGUUUAACAGUUAGUGCUAUACAAAAAUACAUGUGUUGAAUAUUUACGCUUGUACACUGUAAAAAAUCCAAUUAAUGAAAUGUUGGAAGGGCAAAAAUAUAUAAGUUAAACCAAUUUUCUUGUUUGGGCUUAGUUGAGUAGACAUAUUAUUUUAAGUCUAGAUAAAUCUGUGUUUAAAACAUUAAGUGAAUGGUUAUUUCCAAAUUCAGUCAACAUUCAGAAUGGCUAGUGUUGACUGAACUAAUUAAGACAAAUCUGGUCAAUAUGUGGACUUAUGACAGCUAUGUUUCCUGACAGCAAAAUGCUCAUAAUAUUACUGUUAUUUGGUAACAAAAUGUAAUUUUAAGAGUUGUUCAGGCGUGAAUGUAUGUGCUUUAAGUUUAAAUAUGCGGUCGGUUAAUAUAGAUAGCGUCUAUUUAAAAAUGUGCUCGGACACUUUCGGACGGAGAAGAGCUCCAUUUGAGCUCCAGAAAAUCACAGACACUUAAGCGCUCACACCCCGCCCAGCGCAGCCUCGCCUCGGCAAGCCCAUCAGAAAUCGACUGCUGGCUCUGAUAUCUCUGUGGCGUUUAAACAUGCGAUUUAAUUCAUUUUAAUUUCUUAUACUUAAUAAUAAAAGGUUUACCGGUAUGUUUUAAAUCAUAUUUUAGGAUUGCACUUAAAUGAUAUCGCUGUUGAAUGAUAUUUCAUAUCUUUCACAUUUGUUAUAACUGGGCUGCGUACUGCCUGCGAAUUUGAACUUCAGAGCGGUAGGUGCGAGUGGAGAAAUAGUCCCAAUAUCAUAACAAUCUUAAAACUUCUAAAUAUACCCGUGUGUGUACCCGUGUGCGUGCGUGUGUGCGCGCGCGCGUGCUCGCGCGUGUGCAUGUAUGUAUGUAUGCGCGUGCGUCUGUGUAUUCUGAAUUUAAAAUGUUUUAACUCGGAAGGAUCUGGAUCACAGGUCAUUUCAUCUGAGAUCAAUCCGCACGCAACAGCUGGAAUCACUUACUGAUUCACACAAGGAAGGACACACGUCAGCCGUUUUCUCAAGUUCAUGUCAGAGUGGAGAUGAUGUGAGAGGCAGACCCGAGACAUAGCGAGACAGUCUCCGCUUGGACUGGCUGAGGAAAGUCUCCUAAAUGGCCCUGGAGAUGUUCUGACUGACUUUGGAGGCUUUUUGGACUGUUUUAUGCCCUCUAUUUAAAGACUUAAUUCUGUAUGAUAAGUGACUAAGUGAAUAAAAAGCUUUUGUUUUUAUGUGA